CCCUUUUCAGGAUCGCACCUGGAGAGUUUCCAGUACUCUACCAGCCUCGGCUACGAGAGGGAGAGUCAAGCAGAGGCCUGUCCAUUGCAUUCUUACCUUGAGCAGGGGCUAGCAAGUGGAAGGCAAUCUGCUACAAGU